CAUCUCUAUAAGAAUAUAUAUAGAUAAACUUCUUGAGUGCAUAAAGCAAUUCAUAGAGAUCAGCGAUGGCCAUUAUUAAUUAACUGAUUUUAAGGUGUGGCUUUCAAUUUACAUAGUACUUAGACAUGUCAAAAAUCCUUACGACUAUUGUAAAAAAUCUUGUAAUAAACAAUGUACUUGUUAAAGUAACAACCCAAGCUCUAAGCCUUGCAUUAAAUAAGUACAUAGUUUGCUCCUUGUUUGGCUUUAGCUCAGAUUUCUAUGUGCAGUGCAGCAAGUUUCAAUUAAAUGCAAUUAAAACUCUGGUCAACACUAAUAGUAAAAUCGCUGAGAUGAUCUGAACAGGGAACAACAAGAAUAGAUGCUUACAGUUAGAAAGCUACAUUCUCACAGGUUCAGUCGUAAAUUUCUGAUCAAUCCCCAAACCUCAAGUGAUAUGCAGGUUUAUCCACAUUUACUUCAAAUAGCUUUAUAAGAUCAGCUUUGGCUAGGUUGUGGUCAUCGUGUGGACCUUAAGUGCACAAAAGAAGUUUCACCUUGUCAGCUCUUCAUUCUAAUUAUUUUGUAGAUUAUGGAUGGAAUUGGAGGACUACAGUAGUUGCUAUCUAUUUUGGAAUAUGAGUAGAGCUAGUAGCAAUUUCAAGCUACUCAAAACUGAACAGAACGCUCAAAUCAGACAACAGUUGCUUGUUUCCAUUUUCGAAUAGAGUAUUCAAACCUUUUAACUUUUAUACAGAUCAAAUGAAAAACUAAGACUGCAAUACUAGAAUACAAGCAGGUGAUCACUAGGCAAAGUAGGCAUCUUCAACACCUGAAUUGGUAUCGGUAUCACACUAGCACGGCAACCGCAAGUUUGUUAAUUCCAUCAACCGUAACGGCCCACGACAAGCCACAUGAAACAACGAAUCAUGAAAUCCGAUCGCCCACGCUCCCAAGGAUCCAGCAGCAAUUCCAAAUCUAGAGAGGCUCGUAA
rnacentral:lncRNA from 1 species